UACGUAGGGUGCAAGCGUUAAUCGGAAUUACUGGGCGUAAAGGGCUCGUAGGCGGCCAACUAAGUCAGACGUGAAAUCCCUCAGCUUAACUGGGGAACUGCGUCUGAUACUGGAUGGCUUGGAUCCGGGAGAGGGAUGCGGAAUUCCAGGUGUAGCGGUGAAAUGCGUAGAUAUCUGGAGGAACACCGGUGGCGAAGGCGGCAUCCUGGACCAAUACUGACGCUGAGGAGCGAAAGCCAGGGGAGCAAACGGG
rnacentral:rRNA from 1 species